AUGGAAGCUCCAGUUACAGAUGGUGAAGAUGUGUUCUGCCUUUUCUCCAAAUGUCCAUCUCUAAUGAUGCCUGUGGUUGCAUGUUGUGUCCCCUGGCCAGGUCCCCUGUCUGCUAGCAUAAAGAGCAAGAGACAUGAGAUUAAGAGCGAUCCCACUCCAUUUGGCUAUGAAGACACUUUACGCGGUGCUAUGGCUGCAGUCAGGAAGCGUCAGAGCGGGACUGCUGGCGGCCCCCCAGCUGUCCCUAGAUCCACCUCACAACCAGGCUGGGCCCAGAAACGGCUCCCUUCCAUGGACGCAGACGACUUUGAGACGAUCCCCUCCAGUGCAGAGGAGUCCUCCAACUCGUCAGAAGAGGAAGGCAGCAAUAAAACCGGGGGCAGGGGCCGUUUCCGGGUGCAGCUGACCUAUGAGUCUCGUGAAGGCCGGGACCUUUCUCUGGAGGAUGGCCACCUGGUCCAGUUUGUGGAGGAAGUGGAGAGCGGACACUGAUACAUUCAGUGAUUUGUACAGCAGCGCUCUCUGACUGGGACGACAACAGAGCCAGUACUCAGGACAGCAGAUGAACACGGCUCAUUAGUUCAAUUCAUCACGUUGGACAACAAAUAUCUUUGUUGGAUCACAAAGAUACAUUUUCAACUGUAAUUUCCUCAACUGGAAUAUCUACUUUGAAGUUUUCAUCAGGACUACAGGCCCGCUUUUGUUUUCAGCUGUAGAGUUUGAUAACUGACACAUUGAAUCCUCUGGACCUUCAGGCAGAUUGUGAGGAGACAUACAGUGUAAGACCUUUGAUUCAAGGGAGCGCCAACUCCUUGGUCCUUGGAGCAAUAAAGACUGCAUGCACAGUGUCAUGAGUGGACAAUCAACCUUUCACCCAAUGAACUUAGAAUAUGUACUGUAGAAGAUGCAAUCCAGAUUGACAUAAUCCCUGUUCUUGGAAAGUUGUGCAGUUCCCUGAGGAAGGGAUGCAUUCCAUGUGCUGGUGGCGAGCCGGCAUUGGCAACUGGCUCGGUUUGGUUGCUGCGCUGUGCUGAAGUAGAACUCGUUGACUCUUCUGCUUACUGAGGAACCUCCUCGUUUUCUCACUGGCCUUUUUUGGCCCCACGUGGCAUAAUUACAUCAGUUUGGAAGCACAAUCAACAUGCCCGUUAUCACAACCUGUAGACUGUAAACGUUUGAGAGACACAUCUGGGUGUAUUUAAUUACUGUUCAGCUUGGAUACACCGACCAACUUCCCGCUGUGUCAGAAACAAGGCUGUUGUCUUAAAAAACCUUCAUGCAGGACAUAAAACCCCCAAAAAGAUUCAAAAGAAGUUUGUAAUGUAGUUUGUGAGUAUAGUUAUAGUGAGUUUGUACUGUAGUUUGGUUACAUUUAUUUGACAUGUCAUCACAAGCCACCCUUCUUCAUAUUACACAUAACCCUUUGACUCAUUGUUCAUUCAGAAUUUAAUGAUGGGUGCAGCUUUAAAAGAAAGAGGGUAUGUCAGGGGUGCAACAAUUUAGAAAAUCCAAUGAUGGCUAUUGCCAGCUGACAUAUUUUCCAAUCGGGAAUUAUUUGAGAAAUGAAUGACAUUGUGUUUGUCCAUUAUACAUAUACUGUGCAUAGCAGAGAGGAGAAGCUGAAUGGCUUCUUAUGGAAAUCAGGCAUUACUGUUCUUUUGAUGAAUUGGCUGGUGGCUUUUAUUGAAUCCCUGUGCAUUGUGCUAUUUCGACUCAUUUCUACAUAAUGGGAUUUUUAAUAGCAAGCUUUCUGAGAACAUGUCACACUAUUUGCAUACCAGCUGCUACGGUAUCUCCAGGCGGCACAUAUUCAGGCAUUGGGGUUCUGAUUUGUGUGCAUGUAAAUCCCUCAUGUACAAUAACUAUCCAAGCAAUCAGAGAACUGGAUAUGAGUAUCUCAUUUUCACCGCCUUGGACUAGCAGUGUUCAGCUGCAGACUCAUACUUAACACCAGAUGGGCUGUAGAAUCUGAGCACCGACUUGUUUUUCCAUCAGUUUUGUUGCACACCAGUAGUUUUGCAGAGAUCAGCUUCUGACCGCAUCCACUGAGCAUUGCCCCAGUAAGUCAGGUGGCUGAAAAGCAGCAGAGCAAAGUCAGGGAACUGGCUAUUUGCUGCAUGGGAUUUUUCAGCGGAGCAUUUAUUAGUAAGCCGCACUGUUUCCUGUCAUCAGCUGUGUGUGUUUCCCUUUCUCAGAGAGUAUAAUAGCGCCGUAUACUGAGGGUUCAUUCAAGGACCACAACUCCUGUGGACAAAUCUGUAAAUGGAAUGUCACGUCACAGGAGCUCAUUAUAUUUAUUCUUUAACUUGUUAUGAACGGAAAGAGAAAAAAGGAUAUCAAAGGCCUGAAUAUUCACCUGUAAAGAAAAUACAUGAUGACAGAAUACAUGUCAAAGUGUAAUGCUGAGUUACUCUGUGAGAAAACUACAGUAAAUAACUGGGACCAUUCUUUUAAAAUAAGAGCUCUGAUAAGCACUUGGGAUGUAUCGACAAAGAAUGGAAGGAUGAUCGAUAUAUAGAUGGGCAUAUGAACAUGUAGAUAUUUGGGAUGUAAAUGGUUUACCAACUGUAGCAGAAGGCGGAACUCUAUUUAAAGUCACAUGCAUUAAUAUCAGUCUGACUGCUGUGCAUUUUGUUCAUCCUAUCCGUGAUAAAAAAUACUGUACUUUUGUAAAUAAAUAUAUUUAUAUUUUACUACAUUCUGCUGUCAGCCUAUUACAGAAUGUAGUCUGUAUACUGUAAAAUCUGUCACUAUAAUGUACAUACCAAUGUAUUAUUAAGCAUUUACAAUAUUCAUUUUGUCACCUUGUUUUUUGUAUUUUAGACCCUGUUUCCGAACUUAACAAUGCAUGCAAAACUGAGAUUUGAUACAGAGGUGCUUGAUUUAAAAUAAAGGACCCAUUUAUUAAAGACUGUGUUUGUCACGGUGUGGGUUUGUUUCCUGUCUUAUUUUGUAGUUUCCUGCCUCUGGUGCUCCUGCCUUGUCCUGUGUCGGGAUCUCCGAUCCCCCUGAGUUGGUUGAUGAGGAUCCAGCACCUUGAUCAAUUAAAGUCAAAAGUUAACAUUUAUUUAGAAGAGAAAAAGAUUAAAUGAGCAAUUCUUCGCAGAUAUCUGGCUCUAACUAUUGCAGGCACUUCUACACGGCCAUCAUCGAGUCCCUCCUCUGCUCCUCCAUCACCGCCUGGUACGCUGCAGCCACAGCCAAGGACAAGGGCAGGCUGCAGCGUGUCAUCCACUCUGCAGAGACGGUGAUCGGCUGCAAUCUGCCGUCCCUGCAGGACUUGUUUGCUUCCAGGUCUCUGAAGCGAGCUAAAAAGAUGGUAGCCGACCCGACUUGCUCAUAUACUGUGGGUUCGGGAGGAAAAAAAGAAAAUCGGACUGUUUUAUUCAAACUCAUCGCUUUUUACACUUUUAUCCAGGGAGCAACAUGGGACACGGAGCAGCCGGGACUUGAACUGCCAACCUCGGGAUUCCCGGCGCACUCCCUCUACCCCUGCGCCACGUCGACCCCCAUGUUAUGCCCAGGGCUGUAGUGGAGGGUAAACGCACGUAAACGCCAUUUACGCACCUCUAUAAUUUUGGAAAUAGCGUUUACGCACCUAUAAAUAGCGUUUACGCACCUCAAAGUUCCCUGCGCCUUGUAUUCUUCCGUUGGAAUAAUCCGAAAUAAAAUUGGUGUAAUUUUAAAACAGCUAAGACUACGUUUCCUAUUGUUGAACAUAUAAACGCCGUAGUCUGAAUCAUGUUCACCUGCGCUGUAUUACGGUCUGUGACCAUCCAAUCAGUGCCUUGCGGCUGCAGCAGCGACCAAUCAGGAUCCAGGAGGUGUGUAAACACAUACACGUUGUGGAUCAGCCCAGUGGUCCCCAACCUUUCUUACCUCACGGACCGGUUUC
ensembl:lncRNA